rnacentral:rRNA from 1 species
UACGAAGGGGGCUAGCGUUGUUCGGAAUUACUGGGCGUAAAGCGCACGUAGGCGGAUAUUUAAGUUAGGGGUGAAAUCCCAGGGCUCAACCCUGGAACUGCCUUUAAUACUGGGUAUCUCGAGUCCGAGAGAGGUGAGUGGAAUUCCGAGUGUAGAGGUGAAAUUCGUAGAUAUUGGGAAGAACACCGGUGGCGAAGGCGGCGCUCUGGACCGAGACUGACGCUGAGGCACGAAAGCGUGGGGAGCAAACAGG